UCAACAACUGUGUGUGGUAAUGUGCAGAAGACAAAUGCAACACCAGGGUGUGGAAUAUUGGCGAUAGAUGAGUCAAAUCUUACCUGCGGAAAGCGUCUGGCAUCCAUUGGGCUAGAGAAUACUGAGGCUAAUCGCCAAGCUUACAGAACACUGCUUGUGACAGCUCCAGGUCUAGGACAGACUGACAGUUCAUCUCUGGUGCCAUUCUGUUUGAAGAGACCCUCUACCAAUCCACAACUGAUGGCCAAAAACUGGUUGAUGUUCUUGUUAAACAAAACAUUGUUCCUGGUAUCAAAGUUGACAAGGGUUUGGUUCCCCUUGCUGGUUCAAAUGAUGAGUCAUGGUGUCAAGGUCUCGAUGGUAUUACCUCAUGCACUGCUGCUUACUACCAACAAGGAGCUCGAUUUGCCAAAUGGUAACAACUUUUAGAAAGUGAUGAGUUAUUUUCUAUAUGAUUUUAUCUUAUGACUACUGACUAAGAUCAUAUGCUUAACAUUUUUGAUAAUGUUAGGCGUACCGUAGUAACCAUUCCCAACGAAGCAUCUGCAUUGGCAGUGAAGGAAGCAGCAUUGGGUUAAGCUCGCUACGCAGCCAUUUAUCAGGACAGUAGUUUGAUCCCAAUGGUCUGCCAGAAACAUUGCUGGAUGGUAACCAUGGCAUUGACAAGACUUUUGAGGUUGCGCAAAAGGUCUGGGCUGAGGUCUUUUGUUUAUCUAGCUGAGAACAAUGUCAUGUUUGAGGGUAUUCUCCUCAAGCCAAGUAUGAUCACUCCUGGUGCUGAAUGCUAAGCCAACGCCACUCCAGAGCAAAUUGCUGAUUAUACUUUUACAAUUCUCCAAAGAAGAAUUCCCCCAGCUGUCCCUGGAAUCAUGGCAAGUUUCCUCCUCAUUAUACGCUAUUACCAAAUUGUUUUAACUUGUAUAAACGGUUAGUUUGAAGAACUUUGCACAGUCAAAUCACAUAAAAGAUGUAUGAUUGGAAAUAAGUGGAACAAGUUACCAGGAUAAUACGGCAGACUACCAGCAUAGGUUGUAAAUAGACGAAAAAAGUGAGUGAAACUUUUUGAGGUUACAAACAACAUUAACUUUUAUACAAGGUAGG